rnacentral:misc_RNA from 1 species
CUGCCCAUGAUAUGUGGGACUGAAGUCAACGUCCUCUCGUUUCGUUCUUCGUAGCGGGUGAACGCGUGCUUUCAAGCAGCGCUGCGCUCGAAGUCAAGCAACACAUCACACGCACACACACACACACACACACCACUCCCCACGGCCAGAAAAGGAAAAGAAGGGGAGCAGAGCCGACUUCCCCGAUCACCUGCUCGUGAAUCCACAGCUGCUUCAUACACACAACCCUUCAGGAGGGAGGGGGCGGCGAGAGGCGGCAAGCGCCACAAGGGGUGCAGCUUGGGUCUACCCCUUUUUAUUUGGCAACCCCUCGUCGUUUUCUAUCGUCCACAGCGUCGGAAACGAGUGCAUUCAUACUACUCCCAGCUCAGAAGGGAGAGAGGGUGUGGCGCAGCACUUUCCCUUUCUCUUUUUUUCAUUUUUGUAUUUGCUGCUGUUGCGUCUCUCCACAUCUGUGUUGGGAUCGAUAACCUUUUCCUCUGCCUGCCCUCUUUUCGCGUGGUUUUACCGCUGUGCCCUUGGGCUUGACGUGCAGAUCUGUGCACGCCUUUGUAUGUAUCGGGGUAUAUAUAUAUAUUUGUGUGCGUGUGUUGUGUGUGCAUCUGCUCAGAAGUUCGUGCUGCCUUUUUUUCUGUUGCAAACAAAACAAAUUCACUUGGGUUGUUCUAUAUAUAUAUAUAGUUUAUCUACAAAGUCUCCAGCUGACAGCCACGUGCUGGGGUUGGCGUCGUGUGUGGUGUUUAGACUAGACGCACCCACUGCCGGUGCCUUGUUCUCCCUCACUCUUUCGGUGUGUGUGUGCUGUCUGUGGACUCGAUAUCACGUUCUUCUUCCGCCUUUUUCGUGCCGUGCCCGCGCCUCUACUGUGCGUGUUUCAUUCCUGGUGAGCUCUGUGUUUUCAUUGGCUCCGGCUCGGUGUGUGUGUGUGUGUGGGAUCGUCACCGCGUGAGGGUCGAUGCGCAAGUGGCUCGGGGGUGCACUGCCGAUGUUUUCUUUCCGUUCGUGUUUGUGCUGAGAACCCCAUUCUUUUUUUGGCUGGCGUUGCCCUUUCACUACUCUGUAAUUGGCUGCACACUUGAUGUACACUAGCAGUGCUGCAACCGUGGGCGACGGCGGAGAGUGUGAGACUCGCCACGGCAUUGGGACAGCCAUUCCGGAGCCACGCGCAGACGUUGGCAGUAGCGGUAGCAAUGGAAUUGCAGCGGCCGCUCGGCCGUCCAGGUCUCUUUCCUCGUUCUCUUCUCUGUUUGCUAGUCUCGCGCGGCCCACCGGGCUCGGCACCUCUGCAAGCGACGUAGGCGGCUUUGACUGUGCCUCAGCAGGCGCCGUUGUUCAUGGGGUCGAAGACGCUACAGCCGAAUCUCGCCGCCACCGUUACAGCACCCACUCCAUAUCACCCCUUCCGCAUCCGUUGCUACCACGGCCACAUCAUAGCCUCAAUCUGCUUCGGACCAGUGCCCAUCGCGGUUUCACCACAAUGAGCACGCGGGGGUCACGGCGGCAUGACAUGGCCCACAGCGGCGCACCACCACCGCGCCGGACAUCUGUGGUGGUGGCAGCUGAAACGCGGCAAAAGAUGGAUGCGGAGACGGAAGAAAAGGAUGCGCCUGCUCUCUCACUUGCCUGUGGUGGCUCAUCAGCGUCUUCCAUUGAUGGAUGGCGCACGUCUAUGAGCCCUGCCCCCUUUGUGACAAUCGGAGCAGCAUCAGCUGCAGCAUCGUCGACAGACUCAACGUCCACCCCAACCGCUCUCGCCAACGGGUGCGCCGAUCCCUCACUAUCGCGAGUAGGCGCCGCGUUGGCCAGGGCGUCUGCGGCCCGAGAAUUCUAUAAGGGGGAUGCCAGCAGCGGCAGCGGCAACGCCGUCCCUCGACGUAAGACGGUCCACGAUCCCAGCAGUGGCUCGUCGUUCGCACCCUCUCUGACUGUGAAAGGCCGCCACCACCAGCACCGCUGCGGAAAGGUUGACAAGGAAGAGCAUAGUAGCGGCAGCAGUGCUGGUCCACGCGACAAAUCGCAGAAGGCCAGGCUGGCCGCAGACGUCUGCGCCGAUCCACCGAAGUUAUCUCGCCAUCCCUAUCAACUGGGCGUAGAAAACUUCUCAGAGUUGGCAGCGGAGCCGGCCGCACCUCGGUGUCGCGUGAGCGCCGAUGCCGUUCCCUGUGGGCCGUCUUCCUGGAGCGCGUUUGCAGGAGACCGCGCCGAGGCUUCCAGCCCGACUGCUGCACCGUCUGCCGUCGAGGUGUCUCACUCACCGGUGACGUCAUCCUCUCGUCCUAACGUCACUUUCCGGGCGAAAUGCACGGGCCACUUGAAGCCGUCUCUGUCGGCCACGCCAGGCUCUCCGAAGGCGAUAAGUGUGACCAUGCCAUCUAUGUGCUUCAUCUACACACGGACCAGUGGCCGGAGCAAGGAUCGAAGUCGAGAGAAGUCCAAGUAUCGCUCGCUAUCGGCGGCAAAGAAUGCACUCGGCGAUGGCGUUUGUGCUGUCGUCGCUGCGUCGACCGAGUCCUCGGCCACUGCUAUGAAGGUGAGGGACCUCACUGACGAGCGUGCCGCGGCCACCACCCACAUCGCCUCAGAGCCAGUAUCGCUGCCGACACAGCUUCCCCUCAGACGCGGUACGCUGCCGCAGGCAAAUACAAAAAGGACGCCCGGACAGCCCAGUGCGCGUACCCCUUUUACGCGCAGCGUCACCUACACGUGUGCGCGUGUACAGGAGCCAAGGCCGGCGGCUCAGUCGCCUUCUGACGGACGCGGGCGCCCUGCGGACGAGAAGCGUAACGAUGCCUCACGAAAGGAUGUCGGCCACGCGGCGGAUUGUGUUUUGCGGCACACAAGCGCGAGGGAUUUUGAAGAGGCGUCGCACUCGCACCUGCAGCGGUGGCGCCAACGCCAAGAAGAGAAUCGCUCAAGGGCGAAGGAUGUGACGUCAAUCAGCGCCUCAACGCCGCCCGCUGUCGAGAGUGCCACGACGUUAAGAGAUGCGCCGAUGAAGAGUAAGGUAGGCGCAGCACCAAAAGAACAGGAGCUGAAGCCAUUGCCGAGUGAGCCAGCGACGGACGCGUCGAGGCAGCGGCAAGGGAAAAGAGAAAAGCCAUCAACGCAAGCGGCCAGCACCGCCAAUACCGACCUGGCCGUUGCGCCACAGCCGCCGACAGAGGAGCCGGAAAGACAGCGCAGAAUAUCUGUGGGAGUAGAGGCCCGAAAUGCUGCUAGCCCGCCUACUGUAAGUGGGUUCUUCCUCCUCAGUGAAGUCAGGUACUGCGGCAAUGUGCCAGACUCACCGGAAGCUGUGCUGGCGUCUGCUGCCUCCAAGCGGAACUCAAAGGCGUCGACGCCGCCGCCGCCGCCGAAGCCGCCAUCUACCGCGCAAAGUCGAAGCGUGAUUGAUGGCUCUGCGGCUGCAGCUGCCAGAAACCAUGAGGCACAGGCUGAAUCGACUGCCAACGUGUCAACUCACCCCCCACCGAGCAUGUCCUCCCCCAGCUGCUGCCUGACAGAGGACCCGAGACAUCGAGUCGCUGCGAAAGAUGGCAUUCCGGUGGACCGGAAAGCGCAGCCACCGCCGCUGCCGUCAGCGCAACACACAAGCCAUUCUGGAUUCGUGUCAGUAGCGGCUGAAGGUGUUACUCCGGCUAGCCGCUGGCUACUGGAUCGUACAUCGGCGCACCAGUCUGCGCCCUGCCAGACCACGAAAGGACCUACAGCGACUGCAAAGGAAGACGCUGCGCCAUUCCUGUCAGCCAGCGCCGCCGAUACGCGGGGGCUGUUCCGUGCAGUGCUCGGGCGUCGUGAGCAACGGCUUCAGCUCCAGGAGUACUCGAGGAACGCUGGCCGCGUCUUUCCUCAACAGCCGACCUCGAUCGAGACUCCUGCUGGGGGGUCUGGUGGAGUUGAGGUGCCACCGGUUUUCUCUAGCGUUGAGCAGCCAAGCACGCGUCGCACCGCCGUCACCUCCAGCCCAUGCCCGUCUCCACGGGCGCUGACGCAGGACACGAACGUGUCCGCCCCGUUGAAGGUUGAGCCUACGCGCUCGGCCGCACGUGCUGCCCGUACCGUGACCCUUGAGGGUGUCGAGGCGCUUCGCAUGAGGUCUGCUGUGAGUUCGCCGACGGGUCCCGAAACUGGCAAAAACGCGUCACGCAGCGGCGGCGGGGUAGCGGCACAGAUACACACUGAGCCCGCUCUCUCCGCUCAGCACAUGGGUGGAGAUUUUCGAAGCUCUUCUUCCAGCACCCAAGCGUCCGCUGAGCAGGCAAGCCCGCAUCUCAAGUCACUGCAACGCUCGAAGGACGGGGAGCUGGCGGAGCGACCGCCCUCCAGCCGGACACCCGGCGCGUACACGCCUCUCCUACACUGGAUUCGCCAAAACAGGACGCAGAUGCCGCACCCCAGCGGUGGUGCACCAACACCCCUGCCGGUAGUCGACGUGGCAGCUGGUCACGCUGCAAUAUCCGAAACGACCAAGAUUGAGCAGAACCCCCACCUUGUCGAGCGAUGCGCUCUCGUUAACAAGUACCACCGACCAAGCAGAACCGCCAGCGACACGGAGGUGGACAACAACGAGGCGCAGCUACCCGAGGCGGGUGCGUCGCGGCAGGCCCCCAACGAGCUGUUGCUCCGGAAGUUGGCAGACGCGCGUGGCUCUCAUCGACGCAGUAGCACUAACAGCUCCGUGUGCGUUUCCUCCCUGGACAAGGCCGUGACGUCGGUGAGGCAUCCGACUCCAGCGCCUGCGCAUCCGUCGUGUCAAGGCGCAGCUGAAGGUCACAGCACUCCCGUAGCGGAGGGAGAGCUACUGCCUAAUGCUCCCACUUCUUCUGUGGUCGACAACGCGAAAGGGGCCUCCACCUGCACCGUUGCUUCUCUCGGCGACAUUCAGCUAGACGAGCUGGACAAACUCGAGCAGAGCAUCAACGCACUGCUGAAGAAUUACGGGCCCAGAAAGGCGGCAGACGAGGGGAGCGCGCCGGCGAAGUUGACGGCCGCCGCUGCGCUCAUGUGUGAGACAUCUCCGCCUGUCAAAACGUCCACGAGUACGAAUGCAAGGCACAGGGAGGCCAUGGAAGCCGUGAAUAAAUACAACAGAAACGAUCCAAAGGACGACACGCUGGCGCCGAGCAACUCCCAAGACAGUAGCCGCGCCUGGCCUCAUCACAGCUGUGCGGUCGAAACCGACGAUGACGACAGCCAGUUGGAAGGAAGCGGACUUUGGUGUGGGGACGAAGACGCGCACGAAGCCAAUCCACCGCCGGUGUUUGUGCCGCCGCUUGACCUGACGCUGCUGCUGCUGCCAACGGGCGACUCAGAAGAACUCAAGCCAUAUCGCAUUCCGCUGCCCUCUGCCGUGCCGGCACCCGAAGAGGCACACCGGCGUUUUCUUUGCAGCAUCGGCGCCUAUGCGGCAGCCUUUGGCGAAGAAGGGAGCACAGCGACUGCAGGCGACAGCCUCGGGGCUGGUGCGGUGGCGGAUGCUCCAAGCGCGCCUGCGUCAAUGACGGGCGUGGAAGAUGCCGCGCUGCCACCCGGCAACUCUGCAUCGUUGAAUGACUCGUGCUCGCCGCCUUCACGGCGGGCCAGCAAGAGCUGCACGUCCCUCACGCCCGUCUCCCCGUUUGUGAAUGAGCGUGCUCGGCGAAUGCGAGCUUCACGACAGCCUUUUUCGACGACGGGGCCGUCCACCGUGAACGUGCGGAGUCCGAGGGCAUCUCGCCAUGCGGCAGGCGCUGUGAAGGACGGUGCCGACAAGGCGGUGAGCGAGGAGGGCGAAGCUGGCAAGGCGUUGCUCAUGGAGAAAGCUGCAGAUGCUAUCCCGACGGAAGAGAACGAAAUGCUUCGUUCCAGCGGCGGGGCUGACCACGUGCGGUCGCGCGUAGCUCCCAUGGUGCUUUUCACAGACGACAGCGAUGCCUUGGAUGGAGGUCGCGGUGCCGAGCGCGACCGACGCGUGAACCUCCAGCGAGGUCGGGCGCAGCGCAUUCUUCUGGAUUGUCAGGAGCAGCGGGAGCGCAAGGAUACUGUCCUUGAAGAGUUGAACGCCUUGAAGACUCUGACCAAGCGCUUCUAACGGCGCGCUCGUUAACACCUGCGCUCGUGUCUUAGGGCGUUUGUGGGUGUGGGAUGAGUGCGGUCGAGCCGCCUUGAAGUACGCCGGAUCCAUGUGCACUUCUGUGCAUGAUUGCUCAAACUCCGCCUCUCCCCCCCCUUGUGCGUUGGUGUGCUGCGCAGGCGUAUGAUUGGCUGCCAUCGAUGCUGGUUUUUGUCGCUGUGGUGAGGGAUCGCCUUUUUUUCUACAUAAACAUUUUUCGCUGUUUGCCUCUUCAGGAGGAAAGACAGAGGGCGAGAGGUCUACCGCCAAGACUCGGUUUGGUCUGUUCUCAUCGCACCCAUCUUGCAUAUGGUUUCCGUUGCCCUCCCGUUGCCCUCCCGUUGUCCGUCGCGCGCGCGCACGCCAUCUCCACCCGCGCAGCUCUAAGCUUACUCCCUUUUUCCCCCUUUCCCUUUAGGGGUGUGCACACGUGCAGGUGAACCGGCUUUGCGCGUUUCCAUAAGUCCUCCAAGAUGGUGCUACAGUAUAGUACGGAGGCUUUGUUGCUGCGGUUGCUGGUGGUGGCGGCGUGUUUGUGGCAUUGGGACUGCAUGCUCGCCUAGGCUCUCUCGCUCUGGAUCACCAAGUCUCUGCCUCCACUGCUGGUUACCGCGCUUUUCUUUUCGCGUUUGCUCACUGGUGCACUGUUUCCCAUCACCUUUUCUUUUCUCUCUCUUUGCCCGCCGGCCUCGCCCUCCUUCGUCAUAUCCGCGUUCCAUGUCUUGUGGUGCCGCCCCUGCCUUGGCGCCUCGUUAUCUUCUGCACUCCCUGCUUUUUUUUUUUCGACGACAACGGCUGCGCAUGCUGUCCCUCUCUUCGCAGCUCUGUUUGUUUGUUCGAAGGGCGUCUCCACCGCUCACCUCACUGUCUCACGAUCUCCUCCCCUCUCCACAAACGGAGAAACGCAGUGCGCCUUGGAAACUUAUAAGUGCGCCUCAACAAUCGAUGAAGAGCUCUCCUGGUCCUCGAGCUAUCUCUGACUGUCGGCCAUUCGCCCCCACCCCCUCCCCCAGCUCGC